GAUGAACGCUAGCGGCAGGCCUAAUACAUGCAAGUCGAACGGAUAUAUGUUUUUCGGAAUAUAUAUUAGUGGCGCACGGGUGAGUAACACGUACAUAACUUGCCCUCAAGCGGGGGAUAGCCUUGGGAAACUGAGAGUAAUACCCCAUAGAAUUAUUGGACGGCAUCGUUUGAUAAUUAAAACUACGGUGCUUGGGGAUAGAUGUGCGUCUGAUUAGCUAGUUGGUGAGGUAACUGCUCACCAAGGCGACGAUCAGUAGGGGGCGUGAGAGCGUGGCCCCCCACACGGGUACUGAGACACGGACCCGACUCCUACGGGAGGCAGCAGUAAAGGAAUAUUGGUCAAUGGAGGGAACUCUGAACCAGCCAUGCCGCGUGAAGGAUGACGGCCCUCGUGGGUUAGUAAACUUUCUUUUGGAGUGGGGACGAAAAAACGGGUAUUUAUCCGUGGACUGACGGUACCAUCAGAAUAAGCACCGGCUAACUCCGUGCCAGCAGCCGACGGUAAAGUCAC
rnacentral:rRNA from 1 species